GUUCCGAUCGAAGGGUCAACUCAUCUAAAAUUGUAUUCCGUUUACUUCACGUUAAACCCACUUGCCCUAAGAUCCAGCUUUGCAUUUACCUAGAUCGGUUUCUCUUCUUGAAAUUACAACAUUUUAUAUAUAUCAUCAUCAUCUUCUCCAGUUUUUACGUAAAGAGCCUUUCUCAUCAUCAAUUCAUUGCAUAAAGAACCAGCUGGAACAUACACACUUGUAGAAUUGAGGGGAAAACAAAAAUUCUACAAUAUAAUAGAGCAAGUAAGAGCGAGGAAGCAAAUGGAGAAAGCAAAAGUUUAUCUUGAACUAACCCAAGAAGAAACAGACCGGGUUUCAUCACUUGCCUUUCCUCCUCACCGAGUAGGCACCGAGUUUAGCUUCUAUAACUGUUAUGCGGUCAGAGGAAUCCGAGUUGACCGCGUUGAACCCGGUCUACUCUUUUGCACCUUCAAAGUUCCUCCUCGCCUCGCUGAUAGAGAAGGGAAAUUAGCACCUGGCGCCAUAGCCGGUCUUGUUGACGAUGUUGGGGCUGCAGCAGUCUUUUUGGAGGGUCUCCCAAUGAAUGUAUCAGUGGACAUGUCUAUUUCAUUUCUUUCAAGUGCCAACAUCCAUGAUGAGCUGGAGAUCAUUGGUCAAGUCUUAGGUCAGAAAGGAGGUUAUUCUGGGACAAGUGUACUUGUGAAAAAUAAAGCUACUGGGGAGCUCAUUGCUGAGGGGCGGCAUUCAUUAUCUGGGGUUCAAAUGAACCCGCGAAGGACUGCCGCCGCCACCGGUUACAGAUGUCAAAAGGAAGACGGUGAAACUCAUUAACUUCUAUAUAUCAAGACCUAUAACAACAACAUCACACACAAUUAUAGCUCAAAGACGACGAAUGCGCAGUAAACCAAAUUUCGACAGAGACCAAUCUGUAUAGUUCGGAUUGUUUUCUUGACUUGUGCAGGGUAAUUAUUGGGAAAAUCAACGGAAAGAACCCAUCCAACCCGAGAAGAAUGAGAAGAAGAAAAGGGCAGAUGAAAGGAAACUUACCGUGAAGAGAUUAUGGCGUAGGAUUGGAAUUCGUCUCUCUGUUCUCUCUCUAUUUCGCGAAGGCUCUCGAAAUCAAUGAAGUCUCAGCGAAGGUGGGGAGAAUAUUUAUAUACGUGGAGUGGGAGAAGUUUCUAGAGGAACGGACACGAAAUCUUUUUUAAUUGGAAUUUAAUUCGUCCCAUUCUGUGGUGUCAGUUUCUCUUGGCCAAACCAGUAAGGGCAAAAGAAUAAAGAGACAUUUUGCUUCUUUUUUUAUUCCUUUGUAUUUCAAUUUCCAUUUUUUCUUUUUUGUAAAUUAGUGUGAGGUGUAACUUGUAAGUAAGAACAAGCUUUUUCCGGUGCUUGAUGUUGCUUGGAGUUUUUCCAGCAUCCUCUUAGUUAGAAAAGCAUUGAGGUUUUUAACUUUUUUCA